rnacentral:rRNA from 1 species
AUUGAACGCUGGCGGCAUGCCUUACACAUGCAAGUCGAACGGCAGCACGGGUGCUUGCACCUGGUGGCGAGUGGCGAACGGGUGAGUAAUACAUCGGAACAUGUCCUGUAGUGGGGGAUAGCCCGGCGAAAGCCGGAUUAAUACCGCAUACGAUCUACGGAUGAAAGCGGGGGACCUUCGGGCCUCGCGCUAUAGGGUUGGCCGAUGGCUGAUUAGCUAGUUGGUGGGGUAAAGGCCUACCAAGGCGACGAUCAGUAGCUGGUCUGAGAGGACGACCAGCCACACUGGGACUGAGACACGGCCCAGACUCCUACGGGAGGCAGCAGUGGGGAAUUUUGGACAAUGGGCGAAAGCCUGAUCCAGCAAUGCCGCGUGUGUGAAGAAGGCCUUCGGGUUGUAAAGCACUUUUGUCCGGAAAGAAAACCUUGGCUCUAAUACAGUCGGGGGAUGACGGUACCGGAAGAAUAAGCACCGGCUAACUUCGUG